GCUUGUCUCAAAGAUUAAGCCAUGCAUGUCUAAGUGUAAAUACGUCUACACUGUGAAACUGCGAAUGGCUCAUUAAAUCAGUUAUCGUUUAUUUGAUGAUCUCUUGUUACAUGGAUAACCGUGGUAAAUCUAUGGCUAAUACAUGCGCAAAGGCCCGACCCUGAAGGGCUGUAUUUAUUAGAUCUAACCAUCAUUUGGUGAAUCAUAGUAACUGAUCGGACCGUGCGUUAGCGCGGUAAAUCGUUCAAGUUUCUGCCCUAUCAGCUUUCGAUGGUAGUGUAUUGGACUACCAUGGCAGUCACGGGUAACGGAGAAUUAGGGUUCGGUUCCGGAGAGGGAGCCUGAGAAACGGCUACCACAUCUAAGGAAGGCAGCAGG
rnacentral:rRNA from 1 species